UAGGGAAUCUUCGGCAAUGGGGGCAACCCUGACCGAGCAACGCCGCGUGAGUGAAGAAGGUUUUCGGAUCGUAAAGCUCUGUUGUAAGAGAAGAACGAGUGUGAGAGUGGAAAGUUCACACUGUGACGGUAACUUACCAGAAAGGGACGGCUAACUACGUGCCAGCAGCCGCGGUAAUACGUAGGUCCCGAGCGUUAUCCGGAUUUAUUGGGCGUAAAGCGAGCGCAGGCGGUUAGAUAAGUCUGAAGUUAAAGGCUGUGGCUUAACCAUAGUACGCUUUGGAAACUGUUUAACUUGAGUGCAGAAGGGGAGAGUGGAAUUCCAUGUGUAGCGGUGAAAUGCGUAGAUAUAUGGAGGAACACCGGUGGCGAAAGCGGCUCUCUGGUCUGUAACUGACGCUGAGGCUCGAAAGCGUGGGGAGCAAACAGGAUUAGAUACCCUGGUAGUCCACGCCGUAAACGAUGUCGACUAGCCGUUGGGAUCCUUGAGAUCUUAGUGGCGCAGCUAACGCGAUAAGUCGACCGCCUGGGGAGUACGGCCGCAAGGUUA
rnacentral:rRNA from 1 species